rnacentral:rRNA from 1 species
UACGUAGGGUCCGAGCGUUGUCCGGAAUUACUGGGCGUAAAGAGCUCGUAGGCGGCUUGUCGCGUCGACUGUGAAAACCCGCGGCUCAACUGUGGGCUUGCAGUCGAUACGGGCAGGCUGGAGUUCGGUAGGGGAGACUGGAAUUCAUGGUGUAGCAGUGAAAUGCGUAGAGAUCAUGAGGAAGACCAGUGGCGAAGGCGGGUCUCUGGACAGUUCCUGACACUGAGGCACGAAGGCCAGGGGAGCAAACGGG